AGUCCCGUAGUGUAGUGGUCAAGCAUCUUGGGUUUUGAUCCCAAGGACCGAGGUUCGAAUCCUCGCGGGGCUA
rnacentral:tRNA from 1 species